GACGAACGCUGGCGGCGUGCCUAAUACAUGCAAGUAGAACGCACAGUUUAUACCGUAGCUUGCUACACCAUAGACUGUGAGUUGCGAACGGGUGAGUAACGCGUAGGUAACCUGCCUGGUAGCGGGGGAUAACUAUUGGAAACGAUAGCUAAUACCGCAUAAUAUUGAUUAUUGCAUGAUAAUUGAUUGAAAGAUGCUAUUGCAUCACUACCAGAUGGACCUGCGUUGUAUUAGCUAGUAGGUGAGGUAACGGCUCACCUAGGCGACGAUACAUAGCCGACCUGAGAGGGUGAUAGGCCACACUGGGACUGAGACACGGCCCAGACUCCUACGGGAGGCAGCAGUAGGGAAUCUUCGGCAAUGGACGAAAGUCUGACCGAGCAACGCCGCGUGAGUGAAGAAGGUUUUCGGAUCGUAAAGCUCUGUUGUAAGAGAAGAACGGGUGUGAGAGUGGAAAGUUCACACUGUGACGGUAUCUUACCAGAAAGGGACGGCGAACUACGU
rnacentral:rRNA from 1 species